rnacentral:rRNA from 1 species
GAUGAACGCUGGCGGCGUGCCUAAUACAUGCAAGUCGAGCGAACGGACGAGAAGCUUGCCUCUCUGCUGUUAGCGGCGGACGGGUGAGUAACACGUGGAUAACCUACCUAUAAGACUGGGAUAACUUCGGGAAACCGGAGCUAAUACCGGAUAAUAUUUUGAACCGCAUGGUUCAACAGUGAAAGACGGUCUUGCUGUCACUUAUAGAUGGAUCCGCGCUGCAUUAGCUAGUUGGUAAGGUAACGGCUUACCAAGGCGACGAUGCAUAGCCGACCUGAGAGGGUGAUCGGCCACACUGGAACUGAGACACGGUCCAGACUCCUACGGGAGGCAGCAGUGGGGAAUCUUCCGCAAUGGGCGAAAGCCUGACGGAGCAACGCCGCGUGAGUGAUGAAGGUCUUCGGAUCGUAAAACUCUGUUAUUAGGGAAGAACAGAUGUGUAAGUAACUGUGCACACCUUGACGGUACCUAAUCAGAAAGCCACGGCUAACUACGUG